CGUCGUUUCGCUCCGAUCGUGGAAGAACGUGUCGGCUUUUAUUCAUGUAUACCGUUGUACUGCGUUGUACGCUGUACAGCGUGCGUUUUCCUUUCGCUGUCGUUCUCCGCUACGCGAGGAAUAACGCACUGCACGUGAACGGUAAAUGGCCGCGAGUCGCAGUGACGUGCUCUCGACAAUUUUUCGCGAUUAUCCUAAACCAUAACAAUAAUGUUAUCGCCUUUUGUGGUGUUAAAUGUUGCAAGCAGAAACAUUUUUACUUCAACCCCUGUGAGUCAGAUAAUUAAAUUGAGUCCAAUUGAGAGUAGUGGACAACAGCGAGAUAGAAAGGCAAGCUAUGAUGGAGGGUAGAUCACCACGUUGCAUACACAUUUACAACAAGCGUGGGAUGAGAUACAUCGGUGUUGGAAUUUUAGUUGUUAGGGGGCAAAAAGAAAAAGAGUAUACUGGUUGGAUUGAAAUAGCAGCAGGUUCCUAAAAUUCCCAAAUUUGAUAGCAACAAUCUGGUACUCGUAGAUGAUAUACUUCUAGGUACAAGAAUACAGGUGCCUAUUCCACACAUACUCCGAACGAAAAUAAAAGAACAGACACACAGCAAAGGAGCAGAUUAUACCAACGAUUGCAUCCAGAUUCGUCUAGUGUAUCUAUCUUAUCUACUAUUGUAAUACAUAUCAAAUAUUUCAAGAAAAUGUUAAUAUUGUAAUUAUUUAGUAUUUUUUGCAAAACUUAUUUGCAAGCGUAUCACUCAUGUAUCUCUGUAUUUUAUUGUAUAAUAAUAUUAUAAUAAUGAA